rnacentral:rRNA from 1 species
AGCGAACGCUGGCGGCAGGCCUAACACAUGCAAGUCGAACGGAUCCUUCGGGAUUAGUGGCGGACGGGUGAGUAACACGUGGGAACGUGCCCUUUGGUUCGGAACAACUCAGGGAAACUUGAGCUAAUACCGGAUGUGCCCUUCGGGGGAAAGAUUUAUCGCCAUUGGAGCGGCCCGCGUCUGAUUAGCUAGUUGGUGAGGUAACGGCCCACCAAGGCGACGAUCAGUAGCUGGUCUGAGGGGAUGAUCAGCCACACUGGGACUGAGACACGGCCCAGACUCCUACGGGAGGCAGCAGUGGGGAAUCUUGCGCAAUGGGCGAAAGCCUGACGCAGCCAUGCCGCGUGAAUGAUGAAGGUCUUAGGAUUGUAAAAUUCUUUCAGCGGGGACGAUAAUGACGGUACCCGCAGAAGAAGCGCCGGCUAACUUCGUG